rnacentral:rRNA from 1 species
CUACGGGGGGCAGCAGUGGGGAAUAUUGCACAAUGGACGAAAGUCUGAUGCAGCAACGCCGCGUGGAGGAUGACACAUUUCGGUGCGUAAACUCCUUUUAUAUGAGAAGAUAAUGACGGUAUCAUAUGAAUAAGCACCGGCUAACUCCGUGCCAGCAGCCGCGGUAAUACGGGGGGUGCAAGCGUUACUCGGAAUCACUGGGCGUAAAGAGCAUGUAGGCGGAUUAAUAAGUUGGAAGUGAAAUCCUAUAGCUUAACUAUAGAACUGCUUCCAAAACUGUUAAUCUAGAAUAUGGGAGAGGUAGAUGGAAUUUCUGGUGUAGGGGUAAAAUCCGUAGAGAUCAGAAGGAAUACCGAUUGCGAAGGCGAUCUACUGGAACAUUAUUGACGCUCAGAUGCGAAAGCGUGGGGAGCAAACAGGAUUAGAUACCCGUGUAGUC